AGUGAACGCUGGCGGUAGGCCUAACACAUGCAAGUCGAACGGCAGCACAGUAAGGGCUUGCUCUUACGGGUGGCGAGUGGCGGACGGGUGAGGAAUACAUCGGAAUCUACUUUUUCGUGGGGGAUAACGUAGGGAAACUUACGCUAAUACCGCAUACGACCUACUGGUGAAAGCAGGGGAUCUUCGGACCUUGCGCGAUUGAAUGAGCCGAUGUCGGAUUAGCUAGUUGGCGGGGUAAAGGCCCACCAAGGCGACGAUCCGUAGCUGGUCUGAGAGGAUGAUCAGACACACUGGAAGUGAGACACGGUACAGACUCCUACGGGAGGCAGCAGUGGGGAAUAUUGGACAAUGGGCGCAAGCCUGAUCCAGCCAUACCGCGUGGGUGAAGAAGGCCUUCGGGUUGUAAAGCCCUUUUGUUGGGAAAGAAAAGCAGCAGGUUAAUACCCCGCUGUUCUGACGGUACCCAAAGAAUAAGCACCGGCUAACUUCGUG
rnacentral:rRNA from 1 species